rnacentral:rRNA from 1 species
UUUCCGUAGGUGAACCUGCGGAAGGAUCAUUGUCGAAACCUGCAAAGCAGAAUGACCCGCGAACAAGUGAAAACUAUCACGGGUGGCAAAGCCUUUGGCCUAGCUGCCCAAAGUCUAGGCUUUAGGGCUGUGGGAAACCACAACCCCUUUGCUUGGGUACAAAAAACGAUCCCCGGCGUGAAUUGCGCCAAGGAACCAAAAGAAGAUGUGUGCUCUCAUCGUCCCGGAAACGGUGCUGCGAGGAGAUUGCAUCGUCGUUGAUAUCAUAUAAUACGAAACGACUCUCGGCAACGGAUAUCUCGGCUCUCGCAUCGAUGAAGAACGUAGCGAAAUGCGACACUUGGUGUGAAUUGCAGAAUCCCGCGAAUCAUCGAGUUUUUGAACGCAAGUUGCGCCCGAAGCCGUCAGGCCAAGGGCACGCCUGCCUGGGUGUCACGUAACGUCGCCACCAAUUCCCUCACCCACCUCCCAUGGGAAGUGAUGUGGAAUGGCGGAUAUUGGCCUCCCAUGCGCUCCCUCUUGUGGUUGGCCCAAAAUAAAGUCCCUUGGCGAUGGCCAGCCACGGCAUGCGGUGGUCGAAAGCGUAGCUCCUCGAAAACCGCCGUGGUGAGCCUUGUCGAUGCGGAACCCCAUGACCCCGAUGCAUGCGUCCUCACAAAGCGACCCCAGGUCAGGCGGGAACMCCCGCUGAGUUUAAG